UGGUGUCUAUAUUUGCACACCUAUAGAAGUACAAGCAGUUUGUUAACUAUUCCAUCUAGGUGAGGUAUCAAAGUUUCUGGCUUGCCCGGCACCCAGAAGAAGCAGAGAGCUACAGCAACACAUGUGUAAUUCUCCUCAUUACCAAAAAAGAUAAUUAAGUAAUUUACCCCCCAAAAAAAAAAAAAUAUAAGAUGAAAUAGGGGCAAAGCCCUACGCUAACAGAAACAAAAGAAUAAAAGGACCGAAGCCCCUUUCUCUGGCCAAAAUCAAAAAGAAAGAAAGGGAAAAGGGUUUGCUGAGUAAGACUAAACCAGAAGCAAAAAGAGAUUUUGAAGGGUCAAGGGUUAAGACAAAAAUAAAAAAAAUACAGAAGGUAAGUUGGGGAAAAAGCUUGGUACAGCAGAAGAAGCCACUUCCGGCCAUUAUUUGUUCAAAUCUUAAGAUUGAUUGGAGGAAGUUGUAUGAAUUGCUCGAGGUGAAACAUUUGGUAUUUCAGCACGAGUACUAGACAACAGUUGACGCGAGCGAGAAUUUCGUUAAUUAGAGUACACGAGUUGAUAGUUCCUGGUGAGCCCCGCAUUUGUUCUUGUGGGCGAAGAGUUUAUUUAUUUGCUAUGUUCUCUCCUUUUGAACUCUUAGAGUCGCUCUAUAGUCAUUUUAUUUGUGUCAUGAGUAUUCGUUCAUUAUUAGACCCAUGACUAGUAUUAGAUUCUCUUAUAGUGUUUUGGAGAUGAAUUUAAGAUUACUGUGUUGCAAGUUAUUGAUUAACAGUGGUGAAUAACUGUUUGAUUAGUUGAUGAAGAUUAUGAGAUAUUUGGUUGAUAUAGGUUGGUUCUAUUGUUAAUUUUUGAGACAGGGUAAAUUUUUGGACAGUCCUAAAAU